AUUGAACGCUGGCGGCAGGCUUAACACAUGCAAGUCGAGCGGGGUGAUGGUGCUUGCACUAUCACUUAGCGGCGGACGGGUGAGUAAUGCUUAGGAAUCUGCCUAUUAGUGGGGGACAACAUCUCGAAAGGGAUGCUAAUACCGCAUACGUCCUACGGGAGAAAGCAGGGGAUCACUUGUGACCUUGCGCUAAUAGAUGAGCCUAAGUCGGAUUAGCUAGUUGGUGGGGUAAAGGCCUACCACGGCGACGAUCUGUAGCGGGUCUGAGAGGAGGAUCCGGCGCACUGGGAGUGAGACACGGCCCAGAAUCCUACGGGAGGCAGCAGUGGGGAAUAUUGGAGAAUGGGGGGAACCCUGAUCCAGCCAUGCCGCGUGUGUGAAGAAGGCCUUAUGGUUGUAAAGCACUUUAAGCGAGGAGGGGGCUCUUGUGGUUAAUACCCAAGAUGAGUGGACGUUACUCGCAGAAUAAGCACCGGCUAACUCUGUGCCAGCCGCCGCAGUAA
rnacentral:rRNA from 1 species